rnacentral:rRNA from 1 species
CCUACGGGAGGCAGCAGCCUACGGGAGGCAGCAGUGGGGAAUUUUUCGCAAUGGGCGCAAGCCUGACGAAGCAACGCCGCGUAGAGGAUGAAGGCCCUCGCGGUCGUAAACUCUUGUCUAGCGGGACGAAACUCUUUCGCGGAAAUACUGCGGGAGAUUGACUGUACCGCUGGAGGAAGCUCCGGCCAACUCCGUGCCAGCAGCCGCGGUAAUA